rnacentral:rRNA from 1 species
UACGGGGGGGGCAAGCGUUGUUCGGAAUUACUGGGCGUAAAGCGCACGUAGGCGGCUUUGUAAGUUAGAGGUGAAAGCCCAGGGCUUAACCCUGGAAUUGCCUUUAAGACUGCAUCGCUAGAAUCGUGGAGAGGUGAGUGGAAUUCCGAGUGUAGAGGUGAAAUUCGUAGAUAUUCGGAAGAACACCAGUGGCGAAGGCGACUCACUGGACACAUAUUGACGCUGAGGUGCGAAAGCGUGGGGAGCAAACAGG